GUCAAAGACAGGUUGUUGAAGGCUGGG
rnacentral:piRNA from 1 species